rnacentral:rRNA from 1 species
ACUACGAUGAAUAGGGGUUCUGAGAGGAAGGUCCCCCACAUUGGAACUGAGACACGGUCCAAACUCCUACGGGAGGCAGCAGUGAGGAAUAUUGGUCAAUGGACGCGAGUCUGAACCAGCCAAGUAGCGUGAAGGAUGACUGCCCUAUGGGUUGUAAACUUCUUUUAUAUGGGAAUAAAGUUGUCCACGUGUGGACUUUUGUAUGUACCAUAUGAAUAAGGAUCGGCUAACUCCGUGCCAGCAGCCGCGGUAAUACGGAGGAUCCGAGCGUUAUCCGGAUUUAUUGGGUUUAAAGGGAGCGUAGGCGGAUUGUUAAGUCAGUUGUGAAAGUUUGCGGCUCAACCGUAAAAUUGCAGUUGAUACUGGCAGUCUUGAGUGCAGUAGAGGUGGGCGGAAUUCGUGGUGUAGCGGUGAAAUGCUUAGAUAUCACGAAGAACUCCGAUUGCGAAGGCAGCUCACUGGAGUGUAACUGACGCUGAUGCUCGAAAGUGUGGGUAUCAAACAGGAUUAGAUACCCUGGUAGUCCACACAGUAAACGAUGAAUACUCGCUGUUUGCGAUAUACAGUAAGCGGCCAAGCGAAAGCAUUAAGUAUUCCACCUGGGGAGUA